GGCGAACGGGUGAGUAACACGUGAGUAACCUGCCCCCGACUCUGGGAUAACUUCGAGAAAUCGGAGCUAAUACCGGAUACGAGACGCACAGGCAUCUGUAGCGUCUGGAAAGAACUUCGGUCAGGGAUGGACUCGCGGCCUAUCAGCUAGUUGGUGAGGUAAUGGCUCACCAAGGCGACGACGGGUAGCCGGCCUGAGAGGGCGACCGGCCACACUGGGACUGAGACACGGCCCAGACUCCUACGGGAGGCAGCAGUGGGGAAUAUUGCACAAUGGGCGAAAGCCUGAUGCAGCGACGCCGCGUGGGGGAUGAAGGCCUUCGGGUUGUAAACCCCUUUCAGCAGGGAAGAAGCGAAAGUGACGGUACCUGCAGAAGAAGCGCCGGCUAACUACGUGCCAGCAGCCGCGGUAAUACGUAGGGCGCAAGCGUUGUCCGGAAUUAUUGGGCGUAAAGAGCUCGUAGGCGGUUUGUCGCGUCUGCUGUGAAAACCCGAGGCUCAACCUCGGGCCUGCAGUGGGUACGGGCAGACUAGAGUGCGGUAGAGGAGACUGGAAUUCCUGGUGUAGCGGUGGAAUGCGCAGAUAUCAGGAGGAACACCGAUGGCGAAGGCAGGUCUCUGGGCCGCAACUGACGCUGAGGAGCGAAAGCAUGGGGAGCGAACAGGAUUAGAUACCCUGGUAGUCCAUGCCGUAAACGUUGGGCACUAAGUAGAGGGGUUU
rnacentral:rRNA from 1 species